UGACCACAUUUCCAAGAUACGCCUUUCCUCUUCAAAAUCCGAUGCACCCGUACAACAUCAGAAGAAAUCCCAAGAUCCCUUUUGUUUGUAGGACUAACAAUAAGAACUGGAUCAUCCUCACCGUAACCAACUUCUUCGUCAUAACAUUCAUGCAUUUGAAGAAUCCAAUCUUGAUACUCCUUUUCCAGUUGCAAAGGAGUUAACAAUUUACCAUUUCGAGAAAUUUCAA
rnacentral:misc_RNA from 1 species